rnacentral:lncRNA from 1 species
UGAGAGGCAGUCUAAGUGCAAUAUGUUUUCAGAGUUUUAUGUGAUGAAGUUAAUCUCAUAUAAGUGGAAGAAAGUCUCCACUGAAUUGUGGUUAUCUUAGUUAGUGGUUUGUUUCUUGUCUAAGUGCUAUUGAAUUGUGCUUGCUGUACUUUUUUUUUUUUUUUUUGAGGUUACUGGUUGAACCAAAGAGAGAUGCUUUAUGAAAAAUAUGCGUUGGCAAACGUUUCUAUUUUAAUUAGCAAAAUGAUCUGCUGCCUAUUCUUUGCCUUUUUAUCAGCAUGCCAACUGAUUUCUGUUUUGUGUUCAUCCCCAUCAGGUGUUCACCCACGUCUUCUACCUUCAACUUGAGGAGGAUGUCAAUAUAGUUAUUUUUGCUCUUAAUACAGAGGCUGGCUUUGAGGAUGAUUGUUUUCAUCAAGCUCCCGACAAACUUUCCAGAUUAUUGAAGCUAGAACAAGGGUUGCGAGACCAGAUCUUAGACGAUGCUAGAAAAAUAAAGCGUAUGAGGUGACUGGAUGUAGAUAUAUCGACUACUGCAGAGCAAAAGUAUACUAUAGAAUUCAAAUCAGUGCAUUUGUGGUUCUCAUUGGGUAUUUUCCCAAGGAAAUAUGAGCUCAAUCUGUCACAACCCCAAUUGGCUUUGGCAGCUGUAGCUACAUAAGCGAAGCAAGUUUCAUGGUGGUCCUCCCAGCUCCCAGCUUUGCUUAGACUGCUUUUCUUCAUGCAAAUCAACGUUAAAUGUGCUGUUAUGUCAUGAGGGCGACAAAGGGUGCCAAAUUGGUUUACAUUAGGCUGUAUCGGCUUGUAAUCACAAAGUUAUAGCUGCCUUUUUCUUUUAAAGGGCGUAUUUUCCACCGCCAUACGCAGCUCUAUGAUUGUUAAUUCUUGAAGACAUAGAUGGCAAAUGGCCUGUACGGCUGGCUGGAUACUGCCAUUGGUUUCUGAUUAAAUUGUAAUAGGCAUGAUAAAAUACCUGGUUGUUUGUCUAAAUUUACAUCAUCCUCUUCUUUCUAUCAUCAGCAGAGUUGAUUAUACUUUGUGCUAAAUCAUGUCCUCCUCCUGAAGUGCGAGUCAUUUGUGGUGAUUCAUAAACCCAAACAUUUCAUCGCUCGACUCUCCUACAAAAGAUCAUAAUCAAGCAAAACAGGUUCAUUUUUCACACUAUAAUUGUUAUGACCGAUGAUGGUGUAUAUAACUCUGCAAUGGUUACUGGUUGUUUGCUUUGAAGUUAGCCUGACCGUUGAGAAUUAAUCCGUUUUUUAGCAAGAAUGAAGUAAGAUUCCUGCACCCAUUACAGAAUGCUGUAGAGUAGGUUGGGAGAUUGCAGUUUUGUCAGUACACUGCCGAACCAGUUUUCUAUGCCUUUGUAUGCACAAAAGCAUAAUUAGUAAUUUUCUCUAAGCAUCAAGAAAAUCAUUAAGUACUUGGUGGAUGUAGUUUAACAGCGGAAGUAGAGCGUAAGUUGGAGGGCUCGAAGCAAAAUUUAGCAUUCGUCUUUGAAUUGUUGGUUUGCUGUGGUUGAGGUUUAAUUAUGUAAGAAAUCAUCACUACUUAUCAUUAAAUUCCAAAAAUGAGUGUCAGAAUUGCCAAGCCUUCUUAGGCUUGGAGGUGCGGGAGAUCAAAGGUUCGAACCUUGCCUUCCACAAAAUUUGUCAUAAUAUGUGACGGUUUUCAUUGAUCAGUUUCGAUGGAGUUUCUACUCAGAUAGAGCCCAUCGCUUCGAAUGCUUUGACUCAAAAGGUGGGAUGAAGGCGCAAAAUAAACAUGGCUUCAAAAUCUCCUAAUAAUGGCAUCAUCUGUUGAUGGCAUGAAGCUGUGCCUUCGCAUGCGCUACUAAAAGGCGUGAAACAUAUGUUCGCGACGAAAACGUAGGCUUUAAGCUCUCUCUGUUAAAUUAAAUGCGUGCCUUCAAAUGCACAAAACUGCGCCUUUUCUAACCUGCCUAUAGAAGGCGUGACGGUAGUGCAUUGUCCUUGUCCCAAAUUCAGCCAAAAAAACCUAACAUUUUCCCCUCAAAGAUGGGCCCUAUGCUUUAGGAGGAGAUAAAACACAUAUAAGGUUUGAUAUCCUCAGUAUAGCUUUCAGUCAAUGUUAGGUGCAAUGAGAUGGAUAUUAUAUUUUGACAAAAAAAAAAAAAAAGAGAUGGAUAUUAUAUCACUAUCCCCUCUACAUCCUUUGGAAGAUGGUACUAUUGGUAUUACGUAACUGAUUACUUAUUUCUAGCUAAACAUGCCUUAAGUCGAAAGUUAAAAUCAAGUUCAUUUUCUUUGGCCCACUACAGAAAAAUAUAGGUCACUCAUUUUGACCUGCAUUUGUUUGUCAAAUGACCUCUUAAAUUUGCGGUCAUUGUUUUAGAGAUAGUCUGAAGGUAUAUAUCAAUUCCUAAUCCGAGUAUAAGUGGUCCUGCAUUUCCCAUGCUCUCAUUUUUUUUUUUUUUAAUUUCUAGCAGGGGAGAGGUUGGAUUUAAGAAGUGAGGGAUGGAGAAGGGGGAUUCGAACCUAGGGCAUCUAAGUCCUAAGACGUCAAAUUUAACUAUUAGAUCAAGGUCUCAUUGGUGCACUGGUGGGUAUCAAAUCCAACAAAGUAAAAAUACCUACUCAACAAAAAUAUAAGUUUGUGAAUAAUGGUGAGCACGGUCGUAUCUAUAGGGAUUGGUGAAUUUAUUUCCUUUGCAAUUUCAAGAAUUAAAAUGAAGGGUUCUGGAGAAAUUAAACCACGCAAUAACUAUAAAAGAAAUUAAUAAUGAAAAAUUAAGUAAAACUAAAUCAAUGAAAACAAACCUUUUAGUCAAAGGAUUAAUCUUGGCUUUUGAUUCAAUCAAUAGAUCAUCGAUGCAAAAAUCAAUUUAUAUAUUCACAAAUCAAUUGGUUAUGGUCAUCAACAUUCCUUGCCUUUUCUUAUUUUCUCGGUAAUUAAAACAAACUCUUUAGUUACUUCUCUUGUGAAUAGACAACUCUAAAUAAACUCUUAGAAUUUAAUAUACCGACAACAUUCACCAAUACUAACUAACAAACUCACAAGUUUGGUUCAUUUAGAUUAGAUUAUGCACUCUCUUGACACGACCUCAAUUAUGCUAGUCACCACAAAUAUUAAAAUUAUCAAACAAUUACGGAUUUGACGUGUUAAUUGGCAGUAGAUUAUCUAGUUAAUUAAAUAUCGAGAGCCCUUCAUAUCUAGUCAAGCAACAUAACCAUCAACAAUUAAUUCAAGAAGUAUACAAAUACUCAUGAAUAUAUAAAACAGUAAAAACAAAUUAGAUUUCACAAUUAUUGCUGAACUUAAAAGCCUUGAUUAUCUAGAAAAACACCUUAGCCACUCCUCCUGGAGAAAGUCCCCAAGAAAAAUUAAAACUAGAGUUUGUUUUCUUGAGAGAAAAAUAAUAUAGAAGAAGAAAAGUUGAAUUGUCAAGAGAUAUUGAUCUCUCCUUGUUCGCCUAUAUUUAUUCUAUUCUAAUUGUCUCUCAGAUAAUUUACUCAAAAGAAGAAAUAUCUCUUAUCAACCACCAAACAAAGAUAAAUAGGAUGGUUGUUGAAUGAGUAUUAAUAUCAGAAAUAAAGCACAUGUCCAAACUCCCAAAGGCGAAAAGUCGAUGAUUCAAAUAGACAGGAGAAUUAAUUGUGGCCUUCACAAGAUAAAACAAUUUCACAAGUUUGGCCAACACGCCUAGGAUGGGUCCUUUCUUAACAAGUCUUCCAGACUCCCUUUUCUGAGCUUCUUUUAAUCAUGAGGAAGAAUCAAUAAAAUAACACAAUAAGUUGACAAAAUUACAACAGGAAUUUCACAAAUAAAAGAUCUAUUAAAUUCACUGUCAAUGCAUUAGAAAAAAUGUUUGCUCAUAUUAUUUAAGAUUAUUUGGAUAAAAUCGAUCGUUUUUGGUUAAAUUUAAUGGUAAAAUGUCCUGUUAUGCUUUAUCUAAAUCCUUGCCAAAAUUUUGAACAAUUAUAUUCAAGGUAUGUUAAUGUUCAGGGUUCAAAAAUUACAGUCGGUUUUACUUGAGUAACAUAAGGUGUUCCACGGAUGUGUAUUAAGCAUUCGAUAACGCACUUAAAAUUCACGUAACCUAUCAUGUACAUAUACACAUACUAAUAAUUAUUAUCUUUCCUUGUAUUUAUAUACUUUUUUCUAUUUAAUCUUACCUACCAUUUUUUAUACACCCUCCAUCCUACUUUGAUAGUCCUAUUUUCCUUUCUCGUCCGUCCCAAAUUGUAAUCCACUUUCCAAUUGAAGAAUGUAAUUGUAUUUUAAUUUUUCUAAAAUACCCUUAUUCAGUGUAAGUUAUUGUUACUAUAAACUUACUCCAUUUAAUGAGAGUUGAUUCUUUUUUUACCAUCAAUUCAAGUUUUCAUAAAGUUGUACUCUAAUUAUUGUGAGGGUAUUUUAAGAAAAUAGCUACGUAAAUUGAUUGUUCCAACAAAGUUAACUACUUUUUCUUAAACUGUGUGGAAAAAAAAAUCAGGACUAUCAAAGUGGGAUGGAGGGAGUAUUUAUUUACUUUCCUUGAUUAAUCUUACCUUUCCAAUGCAAUUAAUAUUAAGAAAACAUAUAAAGAUGGGCAGUUUAAAGGAACAGUUCAAUUCAACGCAGGUACACAAAAGUACCAAAAAUCAAGCAGCUGAAUUUAAACUAUAUCCCAAUUAAUAAUUGGACCAAUUAUUCAAACAUUAUUAAUUCCAUUAAAUGCUCUGCAAACACCUGUAUACUCUCAUUAUCAAGACGUAUAUAUUGUUAAAUGGCACAACAUUAUUGUUUCUAGCAUUAAAUGCUCCACCAACACCAGUGAAACAGUAGAAAUGUGAUUUGUGGCAUAUAAACCAUUGUACAUUAGAAAAAUGGAAUGUUUGUACCGUGUUUUAAGUAGUUAAUUUUCCCAAUUAAAUAAUUAAACAGUCAACCAGAAUAAUUAGCAUUAGCAACAACAAAUAUGUCUUUUAUUUGUUCGAUUUUUAGCAUCGUAGUCUCAUGUCAUUACAGCAUAAAUAACUAAUACAACUUAAGGGCCUGAACGGUUGUCAGAACAUGUCAAUUAACAAUCUAAAUGAGUUAGAAAUUAUAUUUAAACGUAUAAAUACUUUAGUGAAAAUAAAUUUUCAGAUAACUAUACUAUAUAAAACACAAGUUAUAGUUUCUUAGUCACAAAAAAAGAAAAAAGUCAAAACUAUGUUUAUUUAUUUCUCAUAACUACCUUUCAAUCAAAAUGAUACAAGUGUUUUCUUUACAUUCAAGGAUAAAAGAAAAAAAAAUUCAAAUAAUCAUUUCAUAAAUCUACUAUGAAUCCACAAUCUUGUUUUCAUACUCUAUUAUAGAUUUUGAUUAUGAAUAAUGAGUUUUUGAGAUAUUCUCGUUUGCUUUUGUAUUUAGAUUAUAGAUUUUUUUAUAACAAAAAAAAAUCUAAAAUCCAUAAUCACCCAAACAGUAGCUUUUGCUGAUUCUCAUUAUUUUUUAUAAUCACUUUUCGUAAUCAGAUUUUGUAAAAUGUAAAAGCAAAUGAGAACAAGGCUAUUAAUCAGAUUUUGUACAGCAAGACUAUUAAAAACACAACUCACUAAAAAAAUAAUUAAUGUUCACAUGUUGUUAAUGUUAGUUUACAACCUGUGACUUUUAUUGUACAUUGCCGGUUGGCGGCGGUUUCCCCUCUCCUCCAAAUCAAAGUUACCGGUUGAGAGCACGUGGAGUCAGUCAACUAGGCACGUGUCGUAUGUUAAAAGAGAGGCUUUCAAUGUCAAAUGUAACCGGUGGCGCCAGUCUACCGGUCUCCCUCAAACACCCAACUCUUUACUCCUCUUCUGAGCUGGUCUUUGUUGGCACUGGAACUAAAUCAAGACAAAAGCUUUUCACUGAGCCAUCAUCCCAACUGAAAUUCAGUGAAAAAAAGCUCUGUUUUUUCUUGUGGGUUCUGCUCAAAUCAGCCUAAAUUUCUUGAUUGAAGGCUUCGAAGGGUGAAUUUUGGAAAAUGGCUGUGAGUUUUACUCUACUACUAUCUUUCUUGAUCUAUAUCUUGUGUUUCAUAAUAAUGUGAAUUCAAAUGAUUUUUUUCCUUUUUUCUUUUGUGGGUUUUUCUAUGAGUAGUUUAUGGAACAAUAUUAUUUUUGUUGCGGGUUAGAUUUUGUUGUUUAAUGUGGAUUGGGAAGUGAAUCCGGUGUUAUUUGAGUUGGAUUUGCUACGUGGUAGUGAUCAUUUUGGUGGGAUUUUUCUGUAGCAUAUAUAUCAUUAAGGAAAUUGUGGAUUCAAUGAUUAGAUGGCCUUUUUACGUAUUUGAUUUAGGCUCUUGAUUUUGAAGGUUGCACCAUUGGAUUAAUCUAUUUUCAGGAAUUUAUUUUGAUCUUUUGGCAUUAUUCCGUAUUUUUCUUUUGAAGAGGGGGAUAUGUAUGAGUAGUGAGGGGAAAAACAAAGCCAUGAAUACCAUCUGCCUUUGAAGUGGCUGUAUUAGCAGGAUGUAAAUCUUUGGUGUUUGUGGCUAAAUAGAGAUGCUAGUAGUACGUCACAAGAAAUUCUGGACUUCUCCAGAUUUACCAUAGUAUACCCUAAUUUUUUUAUUUUGGAUUGUAUUAAGCCAACUGCGUUGCGUAAUUCGUUUCUCUUAUUCUAAAGGCAGCUAGUGCCUUUUGUUUUCAUUUGCAGUGAAUCUGAUUUUUCUGUGUUGUAAAGUAUCAUGUUGUUGUUAAAGUCGCCCCGUACCUUCAAGUAGAAAUAACUGUCUUUUUCAUGCUUGCCAGUGCUAUACUUGAGUUAUGAACUUUACGGGUGUAAACAGUAAUUGUUAAUUUAAAUCAAUUCUGAAUCAAGUUUGAAACUUUAAAUAUGUUAUUUCUAAAAGAUGACAUUUUCUAUGGCUGUGAAUUACUUGUCUAUUCAUAUAGUUAUCUGAAGCCCUUGCCUUGUUUUCUUGUUAAGCUUAGCAAAUAAGAUCAGGUCCUGUGAUGACAUUGCCUUAUUUUGUUGAUAUUUUUCUCUCUGGAUUUGGAAUGCAUAAUCAUUUAGUUUGUACUUCUACUUUUGAGCUUUUUGGCUUAAGUGGCCAUACUCACAAAAGUAACCAUCUUGUUAGGCACUUCUUUUCUACAUUGGUUGCAAAGGAUAAUGGAAUAUUUUACCUUUAAGCAGAAAAGAUCCCUUCUGCUUUCUGUGUUCCCCCAUUUUGUUUUUGUCUCCUGAAUAAUCAAUGUCCUUUUCAAAGUCUUGGCGAACAGUAAUUAACAUCCCCAAGUUCCCCACCUCACUGACAUCUUCAGAAACAUAUCUAAAGCACAAAACCUUGUUGGACUCUUCAAGCAUUCUUGAGCUUCAAAACUGAUACCUUAAACAUCAAUUGGGAUAGACUCGUAUAUGAUAUUUCUUGUGUUUAUGUCUUGCAGACUGAGAAUCUUAGUUCAAGUGUCCAGCCAGGUUUAUCUAUUGACUUGCUAACUAAACUGGAUUUAUUGAUUGGACUCUAGGGUUCUUUUCAUUUUAUUUUUGUUGCUAAGUGUUGAGGGAUUAUCAUAUAAAAAUUGAGUUUGUGGAGAAUGCUAAUGAAAUUUUCUGAGCUGUAGCAUUUUGUGUGAGUGGUUCAGGUCGCAAUUACUUGCUAGUUCACCUUUGUUUUGUUACAUGGAUAUGUGUUAUGAGGUGUUAAAGCUGGGUAUCGGAUAAUCAUUUCUUUGAAUAAAGAUGUCACACAUAAGAGCUGUGGAGUUGAUCCCACAGCAAUAGGUAUCGGAUAAUCAUUUCUUUGAAUAAAGUUAUCAAACAGGAUAAUCAUUUCUUUGAAUAAAGUUAUCAAACAUAAAAGCUGUGGUGUUGAUCCCACAGCAAUCAAUGGUACUCUUGUUGGGAUGUUAGUGAGGUAGGGUUACAAGCUUGAAUGAUAACACAUUAGCUUUCAUAACAAGCCUGGCAAGCAUUGAGUUGAGGAUAACACGUUAAUUCCUGCCGAUUUCCAAGUGAUCUUCUCCACAAUGGUUAUGGACUUCUAAAAUGAAGCCUUAGUUCUUUUCAAUCCUAAAAUCAACGAUGCAUGAGUUGAUUUUACUUUUAUUUUUUGGCCCAGAUUUCCAUUUUGGUAGUUAUUAAAACUAGACAAUGGGAGAGGUUGAGGUGAACUUGUCAUUCUCCCACAACUUUGUGAGCCUUGAGAACAGGAGGAACCUAGUCCUAAUGUUCCUGCAAGAUUUAUAUUCCCAGCCCUGGUGUCUUGCCAUGUGAACAAUUCCUGAGAAAGGUUUAGUCUUAACAGGGAAGGUUAUAUCCUUUUACUUUUCUAUUUUUUGGUAGUAAUUUUUCCAUGUCAAUUAGUCAAGCAUUUGAGCUUAUGGCGGAUUUAUGCGUGAGACUAGCAUGAAGCCCUACUCUAUACCAUUGUCCUGUAGAAUUUCUGUUUUUGUAUUGUUGAUUGGGAUCAUGUUUAUGAAAUUGGUUCCUUUUUCUGCAGCAACGGUCACAAGUUCCAAAGUUUGGCAAUUGGGAAAGCGAGGAAGAUGUGCCUUACACUGUCUACUUUGAUAAUGCCAGGAAGGGCAAGAAAGGUAGCAAAAUGAAUACAAAUGAUCCGCAAGAGGAUCUGGAUGCUGAAACAAAGGGCCAAAAAAGACCAGAGGCAACCAGGGCAAAGCAUGUGCGACGCACUAGCCGAGAAGAUGGUGACCUGAGGAAAUCAAUCGACUCUCCCUUGCACUCUGAUGCCAUGAGUCAGAAAUCUGCAAAUGAAUCACCUCAUCAUAAGCAAGGUGGUUUAAAACAUGGGAGUAGAAAACCAGAGUCAGAAGGAUCGAAGGGAACUGACACAGUAAGACCAAGGCAUGAAAGUCGAGAAGAAGGUGAUUUGAGGAGGCCAACUGAUUCUCCAUUGCGGAAUGAGACCGGAAACCGUAGAACUAGUCAUGAUUCUCCACAUCAUCGUCAUGGUGGCCUGAGUGCUGGUGAAACACCUAAGAGGGUUGCUAGGCAAAGUGUGGGGUCUGAUCGCAGCAUUGACCAGUCUCCGCUACAUCCACACUCUCAGGUAAGGACUGGUGGCAGAGGCAGUGGAGUUUCUUCUCCAUCUUGGGAAAGAAAAGGCUCCUCAGAAGGUGGCCUUGGUUUGGCUCCUUCCACUCCUGGCGGAUCGCGGUUAAAAUCAGUAACACGAGGCGAUGAAACUGUAUGCCAUUCUUAAACUUUCUGUGGUAACAUCUCUGAAAAUGAUCAUGCAUACCGACACACACUUUCAUCCUAUUUUUUUUUGCAACUUACAGUUGUUUCUGGGAACGAAAGUUUAGUCUUACCAUGUUUUCAGCAAUCAAAUACUGAUUCUUGGAGGUAGCUGGAUGGUAGAGAAAAUCUUGGAAUUUAGACUAAUCCGCCUAGUUACACUGUGUAUUCUUUUCCAUGUUAACAAUUUAACAGCAUUACGCUUCUAUCAAAUAUUAUUGUCUUGAGUGAACCUUUUUGGCAUUUUAUUUGCUAUGGUUUCUUCCCCAGGUUUAGUUCUGUUUCUCUAUCAGUCAAUUUUUUCUCUCUUCUUAACUCUCGGGUUGAUGUGGCAGCCUGAUCACAGCCCUGCUGUUCCCAAAUUCGGCGAUUGGGAUGAGACUGAUCCUGCAUCAGCAGAAGGAUACACUCACAUAUUUAACAAAGUGCGAGAGGAGAGACACAGUGGAGCUGGAAAAGUACCUGGUAUGCCAACAGAAUCAUCUUACUCCAAUGGUCAGAAACCAAUUGGAAAUGACAAUUCGAAGGUAGUUGAAGCCUUCUGAUCACCGUCUUGUUGCAGCAUUGCUAUGUUUGAAACCCUUAAUUUUCAUUCUUACUUCUUUCUGAAUCAUUAAUCAGCAUCUAUUUUCUUUUCAUCUCUUUCCUUUCAGUGCUGCUGGUGCUUCCCAUGUGGCAGAUGAUUGUACAUGGCUGAACACGAAGCAAAGUUGGAAUGUAUACUAUGUAUAACUUGGAAUCAUGUAUAGAGUUUUAGCAAGUAUUUUGGCGUGUGUAAUGUAGUCCUGCAAGGAAAAUUGAAUUUUGAUACUCAGUAGAUUUUCUAGCAUUUCUCCUAUCAACUCAAUUGUAUUUAUGAUCUUGCUAUGAUCAAUUGAAUCCUGGCAAGGUAAUUUCAUAUUUAUGUUUAUAUUGUUCCAUUUAGUCAAAUUGUUCUUUGUCUCAUACUGUUCUGAGAAGGGAUCAUCCGAUUGAUGAUUUAAACUUUUACAAGGGAACAAAAUGUGGAUUCGGGACCGAAACAAUUUUCAAUCAAAUUGCUCGAAACGAUAUUCAAUGUCGUCAAUAAAUUGGAAUUCAGCAUAUACAACUUGUAAAACUUAUAGCACAAUGUAUUGUUCAUGAUGAAUAACAUAUGCACAUGGAUCUGAUUUUUACACCAACUUUUAUUUGCAAGUGAUUCUUUCCUCAACGAGUAAUUUAACUACGCUAGAACUGUUUUUUUUUUUUUUAACCUCCCAUAGUAAAGUAACUUUGAUCAACUAUCUCAAUAUUGGUAUGAGCCUUCAGAAGUAAUCUACUUGGAGAAAAAGAUUUAUCUAGACUAGAAAAUUGGACUUAUAAAUUUACGGGUGAUAAGGAACCGAGUUUAAAGGUAUUUACCUGAAAGCAAACUCGAUGAAUCCCAUGUUCAAGUACUUGAAAUCGACUUAAUCAAUUGUUAGGUGGUCAACCUACCUCGAAAAAGCAAAUUGAGCUCGUACUCGAGACAAGCUCGAGUUUCUAGUACAGACUAUAUAAGAGAUUCACUAAUUUUAUCAUUAUAAAAAAACAAUGUAUAUAUAUAUAAAUCUCGAAAAUUUCGAUCAUUUUUUCAAAUCAAGUACCUUAAUGCUCAAAUGUUCAGAAAAGAUUCAAACAAUUCGAGCUCAAGCUAAGCAUUUUGACCAACUGCUCGUGGCAAAUUCGAUAGGUUGUCACCUUCACUUAUAAAUUUACGCAUCUUGACUUGUCCGAAUUCAAAUUCUUUUUGUAAGAACAUAGUUCAUUGUGACAAAUAAAAUUAUUUGAAAUUGGGCUAAUAUGAGUAAAUGAAGAACAAAAAUUUCGACGCAUAAAAGAGUUUAUUAUUAUUUUUUGUAUAUUAUUGUAUUAGUAUCUAUAUUUAUUGUAUUAGUAUUUACUAAUACUUAUAAUCUAAUUAAUUAAGGUAAAAGAAUAACCAUAUGAAUAUGAAAGUUUGCUUAAUUUGAGUCUAAAAGAAAUGAUAACGUUUGAUGAAAUGCGGAAUUAGCGUCCAAUACAUCCUCACCCAGCUUUAGUCUGCCACGCCUUGUUUCAGUUUGCGCGCUUGAAUUCAAGAAUAGUAGUAAUAAUACCAUUAGGUAUCAGCAACAGAAGUGGGUUUUUCAGGAAUCUCUGGAACGGAUGAGUACCCAGCUCACUGGUCUCUGGCCCAACUUUCCGGCUACCAAGCUCAGCGGCGGACAGAGUCUUCCUAGCAGAAUCUACUCACCACCUUCCACCAUAUGCGCCGCUCAUCCUCUUCCCUCUUCGUCUUCUAUUCAGGCAAGGCUAUGUUUUUGCAUGACCCUUGUGUUCUGCUUUGUUUUCUGGUUGUCUUCUUUCUUCUGUAUGGGCUUAUGGCUAAUUUUGCUUAACGUAGUUUAUUCAUGGCCGUCCGGCCUUUUUUGGGGAAAAGACAAUGUUUUUAUGAAUGUAAUUUCUGGAUUAUAUUUACUUUUUUAGGAUUAAUGCAUCUUGUGCAGUAAGUUUAUAUACUAGUCUGGGAUGUUGAAGUUUUGUGAAAACUGAAACAUGGUUACGUUUAGUGCAAAUUGGGGAGAAGUUAAUGAUCAAAAUUAGUACUUGACAAAGUGCUUACCAAUGAUCAGCAGCUUGAUGGCAUGAGAUCACUUGAUAUAGCUUAUCUGAUUUAGUUCACAGAAAUUUUAGCAAGAGUAGUUCCCAAAUGCAACCUUACAAGCUGCUUUAGGUGCAAUGACCCUGAAAGGGAAAAUCAACCAAUGAAAUGAUGUAACCAUUUAUCCAUUACCUCUGAGAAACUGAUUCAAUUGUGGAAAAAUUGCAAAAUGGGUGCCUUGUAGCUUCUUUGUGGUUAUAUAAGCAAAUUAAAACGUGUUUGGUGUUUUCCGUACCCCAUUUUGGUAAUGCUGGCUUUCUGAGAGUGCUAAAUGUUGUGGUAUUUCUUAUAGAUUGCCUGCAUAGUGAUCUUUAUUUGUGGUUUAUGUUGUGUUUGUAAAAAAAAAAAAACUUUGCAGAUUGUUGGUGGAAAAGCUUUGGGAUGGCAGACAAAUGGGAAUUCAAAACCGAGUACAAAUUUAGGGAGAACUGAAGCAGAAAAUGACUGGGAUGAUUUGGAAACUGAUCUAUAUCACUGGACAAAGACAUUACGCUCUAUUCAGGUAUCAUAGUGUGAACUUGAGUGAUGUUCUUCAAAGAUAAACUAGAUUAACGCUUUGUUGUGUUUACAUUUUCUGCUUUAGCUUUUACCUGAACUGGAAAAGGUCUACGAGGUUUUUAUUUACACAUGCUAACGAUCAAAUAGUGGUUUCCUGGGCACAUUUCAAAAACUGAAAAAGAACUCAAGGAGCAACUGAAACUGAUGGAUGUUGUUAUAGAGGUUCGAGAUGCAAGGAUUCCAAUGUCGACUGGCCAUCCGCAGGUUAGUUUUCUGUUACUUAACCUAUCAUGUUGAACUUGUCAAAGCUAUGGUCCUCUGUGCGCAUCAUAAUGCCUUGGGAAUGUGUUGUGUUGACUUGCCAUUUUGCAGUGCACGUGUUCCUGGCAGCAAGAAGCUUUUUAGCAUCUUUGAAAACCUUAGACUGUAAAUUUACACAUUCAUUUGCAUGUUCUGCAUUAUUGUAAUCCUCCGUCACUGUCUAAGUGACAUUGAGAUUGGAGAUUAUGAGUGGCAUAUGUGAGCGGUCUCCCAAUUUUCUUUUUGAUCAUAAGUGCCUAAGCUGCUGCUGUCCAUCUUGCUGGUUUUGCCUUUUUAAAGUGAAGUAUGAUUCACAUUAUGGCCAUUAACUUGGUGGGAAGCACUCUUAUCAGUAUAAAGGCAUCUUUAGUGUUCAUGAUAAGUUGUGAAAACUUCAUUUGAGGAUAUCAAAAGGACCCUUUUCCACUGAAGAAAGAUAAGAAAAAGAACCACAGGCCACUUUAGCGUUUUGUCAAACAAUCAAUUUAUGUGUGCAGUAAGUUUCAUCCCAGUGUUCAAGGUUGUUCGUGCCUUAAAAGUGAAGACUAUAUCAUCUCCUACUCAUUUUCAAGGAGAAGCAAAUUACCUGAGGUUUUUUGGGAGUUUAUCUCCCCUCUGAAGAAGCACAUCUCCUUUAUCUGCUUUUUGUGCACGGAAUUUUUAAGUUUGUGGCAUCCAAUUUAAAAUCUUUUUUGCAAUUUGUUGGCCUUUGAAUGAGCAGAUGGAUGCAUGGCUUGGCAAUCGGAAAAGAAUCUUGGUUUUAAAUCGAGAGGACAUGAUAUCCACUGCAGAUAGGAAUGCUUGGGCAAAUUAUUAUGCUAGACAAGGUGUAAAAGUGAUCUUUUCCAAUGGGCAGCUGGGGAUGGUAAUCCAGGAUACAUUUUCUGUUGGUUUUGUAUCCCAUUUUUUGCAAAGGGAAAUAGGAUACUGACUCUCUGCUGCAAACUGCAGGGUACCAUGAAGCUAGGUAGGUUGGCAAAGGAAUUAGCAGGUGGUGUGAACAUGAAACGCAGAGCAAAAGGACUGCUCCCUCGUCCAGUGAGUUCUUGAGACUGCAUAUGAUAGUAUGAUACUACUUACUUUUGUUGGUAAAGUUUUGGUGGAUUUAUCCAUGUCCUCUUGUUAGAUGCUGUAAAUGAAUGGUCAACAUGGAACAAGUCAUCUUCAAGUUAUCCUUUGAACUCAUUCUGAUAGACUUUGUUUCUGUCUUGACAGACUCCAACAAAAAUGGCUGUUUUUAAAUGUCUUCUUGUCAGCUUUUUUACUUUUCCAAGUCUACUAUAAUAUACAACAUCCUUCAGUUCUUCCAUUAUGAUAAAAAGCAACUGACAACGAAAAGAUAUUUCAACCUGUAGUAUUCUCUGUAGACAGCAAAUACUUUUAAAACUUUAUUAAAUUAGGGAAAUCAGGCAGAUUGUUCCUCCUCCUGUUCUUGUAUACUGAGGCAGUUCAUGUAAAUGUGUAAUGACUAGGUAUCUUAAUUAUCAAAUUCUGCAGUUUUAGGAGAUCGUAGCGCUAAUUUUCAACGUUUUAUGAUUAAUAUAAAUCUUAUUCUGUCAUUUGCUUACGGUUAGAUCUUCCUAUGAGAGAAAUUCAUAAUUCCUUAUACAGGUUCGAGCUGGAGUAGUUGGAUACCCUAAUGUUGGUAAAUCAUCCUUAAUAAAUCGCUUGCUAAAGCGUCGAAUGUGCCCAGCUGCUCCAAGACCUGGUGUUACUAGAGAACUGAAGUAUGCCUAUCUCUUGUUUUCUGAUAUCUACCUCAUAUGUAGAAUGAAAACAAUAUCCCUAGUCUCGCUAAAAACAUGUAGGUAUCAUAUGAUGUAGACAUACAUCUAAGUAGGACUGUAAGAAAUUUAUGCAUGCGUUGCAAAUUCCAAGUAUCAGAUUUAUAAUAAAGCUGAGUGGCUUUUUGUCCAUGGAAAGGUACAAGUCAGUUCUAAUACAUCAAUAUAGCUUUAUAGUGUUUUAUGCCAGAUUUUCUGGAGAACAGGGCUGACGCAUUUUUUUCCUUUUGAACUGUUUUUUCCUAUCUUAUUAUCCCUGCCAAAGAUGGGUCCGGUUCGGAAAAGACUUAGAAAUGCUUGAUUCACCUGGUAUAAUUCCAAUGAGGAUCAGUGAUCAGUCUGCAGCAAUAAAACUCGCCAUAUGUGAUGACAUUGGAGAGAGAUCUUACGAUGCUGCUGAUGUUGCAGCCAUUCUUGUGCAGAUGCUUUCAAGGCUACCAACUGUAGGUCUGUGCACUUCUUGCAUCAACUGAUCCCUAAUUAUGAUGUUGUUUGCCCCCCAUACCGAAAUUUAGUUUGCUUCUGGCUAUGUUUGGAUUUAUGCUUGCAUAAACAAAUCUCCUCAUAGAUAUUAGCAUCAUUCCUGAUGUUAGGCAUUGCCUUACCUUGUUUUUGCUAGGUAUGACAGCUCUGCAUGGCCGCUACAAGAUUGAGGCAGAUGGUAGCUGUGGUAGAGGGUAAGUUUAUGGCCUGCGUAGCUAAAUGCCUAUCAUGUUACACUUUGACAGAUUCAUAGCUGAGGCAGGAUGCCCAAAUCAAAUUAUUUACACUUGUUAGGCCUUUUAGAGCUGGAUUUGACACCUUAAUCCUGCUUUGUCCUUACUUGAUUUCUAACUUCUGAUUUUCUUUUCCAUAAUGCAGCUUUGUUCAGAAGCUUGCGAAUCAUUUAUUCAACGGUGACACGCAUCAUGCUGCAUUUCGUAUUCUGUCAGAUUUUCGAAAGGGAAAGUUUGGCUGGAUAGCUUUGGAGAGACCUCCACAAUAGGACGUGGAUCAUGCUUUAUCGGCACUGUGCUUUACUUGAUCUGGUGCCCUACAUGUAACAUAAGGAGCUGAAGCAGUUUGUCUAUUUUCAAGCUACUCAAAUCAUAAACCGCAUUUUAGCUGUGCUUUUAUGAUUUGAGUAGCUUGAAAAUAGACAAACUGCUUCAGCUUCUUAUGUUACAGUGCUGUUAAAGUGUUGAUACCUCUUUUCGCCUUGUAAUUUAACAGCACUGUAACAUACCUCGUUAUACUGACUUUCCUCAUUGUGAAUGACCGUAAAACUGAGAAUGACUGCCACAGUGCAAUAUUACCAGUAUGUACCAAUUCCCUUUUUCCUCAAAAAUGAGAAGAAAAUAUAAUUGAAGCAUGAUGUAUCUUCUUUGUGUUUGCAAUUUCCUCCUGAUUGCAUGGACUUGCACCCUUUCAUAGCAUAGAUUCCUCUGUCCGUGCAUCUUUGCUGUCAGUCUAUGACUAAUUUCUCCUUCAUUUGUGGGAAAAUGUUGCUUGCCGAUGGGUAGACAAAAGGUUCUUUAAACCUUGAUUCCCAUCAAUAUAGCAAAGUUGAAAAAAAUGUUGCUACAAGUUGUACGUCAUGGUACAACUUGUACUGGUGACCAAACAUGGUACAGAAAAGAUUAGGUAACAGUUUGGAUACGUCAUGUUUGACAUGGAAUUGCAAAAUCCCUACUUUGACCGUUGAAGAGAGAACAGAGUAUUUCCUGAGGAACAUCAUUGCCUAUGAGCAGUAGCAUGGGGCUGAUUUUUUUUUUUUUUUUUCGUAACACUAGAAUUUUUAUAAUCUAAUCUAGCCUAAUCUAAGGGAGAGGGCGAGAGGGACUGGAUGUGAGUAGAGGCUCUAUCGAAAAUAGCCAAUUAAGACCCGCAUAUAUUGUGGCAAUUUUUUUUGGUAGAAGGCAAUAGUCAAACUCUUGACCUCCCAUAUCACCAAAGGCUUAAAAGUCUUGGUGGUGACCACCGAGCCAAAGGCCCAAUGGCAGUAGCAUGGGGCUGAUCAAUUCACGGUUUUGACUGAUUUUUUGUUUUGUAAAAGAUUAUUUACGAGUCUUUUAGAUUUUUUAAGUGCCAAAAAAGUUAUCUCCAAUGCGAAUUCAAGAGACUUGUACUAUUGCUAAUGCAAUCGUAGAGUACCGUUGAUGGUUCAGAUCGAAUCACAUCAAGUUAGUCCGAUCUGAACGAUUUAUUUUAAUUUCUUUUUUAUUUUGGAAUAAAUAGUCCAAAACGAAAAUAGUUAAUAUAACUCCAUCUAAGCUAUUAAGGGUAUUAUGAGUCCAAUCAGCCAACCACACGUACCUCUCAUCCCUCCAACAUUUGACAAAAUAAACAAAGUAGAAACUUCAUAGUCUUAUAAAUUGAUGGAUGGAUACUGCUUACUUUCUUACAAACUUGUACUAUUUCAUAUUUUUCCUUGCAAGAGCCAUUAGUUUACAAGCAAAAAUACAAUUGCUCUGUUUGGAUUGUAAAUUAUUUGAGAUCUUUUUACUGUAACAUUUUUUAUGAUGUGAUGUAUGUGAGAUAAAAAGGUAAUUGAGAAGAUAAAAAGGUGUGUUGAAAAUUGUAAUGAUGAUGUAAGCAAAUAAAUUUUGACAAAUAAUCCUCUAUCCAUGGCUCAAGAGGAAAUGAGUUUUUGCAGGUAAAAAAAAAAAAGAAAAAAGAAAUAACUACGUUGGUAAAUGAUUGCAUAAUAUUAAAGUACUCAUCAACAACGAGAAACUAGAAAUUUUUCUUAUGUAUUUCAUAUAAAAUCCUUUUGAACCUUGUGGUUAUUUCUUUCUAUCACAACGGGAAAUGCUAUUGCUUUUCUCUUUUAUCCACAUGGACAAGGCAGAAGUAACUGCAAAUUAAAAAGGUAAAUGCAGUCUAUAUCUCCUCUAUCAGAACCCAAGUAUAUUUUGUACUAAUGCUUUCUUAAAACUGAGAGUUCAAAGUCAUAUAUCUAUCUAAUUAAUGUUUUGUGUCAAAUUAGCACCACUAUUUGGUUAUAAGGACCCAUUGAUUUCUAAUGGAACUUCUAAGGACUGAAUUGACUCAACAUUUUUUUUUAGGGUAAGUGGGAGAUUUUGAACUCAAGAUUUUCUAUAUACAAUCUCUCCUAUUUUAUCAUCCAAUCCAACCUUCCUCCAACUGACUCAAAAUUUAAACGAUAAAAGAUUGAAAAAAAAUUUUAAAAUGACUGAAAAAGAAAUUUGUGUAAAAGUUAAAGGACUCUUGUCAUAAUUCAUCUUAAUAAUUUUUUUUUUUAAUUUUGAUAAUGAAGUUAAGAUUUUGGCAAACUCAACUUAGAAAUGAAGUUAACAUUUUUACAUAUGCUUGAUUUUGAUCGUGAUUUGAAGGCCUACAAAAAAAAAAAAAAAUCAAUAUAAGCAACAAGACUUUCGAGAUUGAAUGAAACCACAAGAAGACAAAAUAAAUCCCGAGAUCAGAAGACGAAAUAGAGCAAAGAGAACUAGAGGAUUUUUAUUAUCUCUUUUCUUUCUUUCUUAUACCGAUAGACCAAGACCUAUGGUCUUUAUAUAGCCUACCAAAUACCAAAAUUUAAUUGGGAUUUAAACUAUCAAGUCAUACUAAGAAUAGAAAAUCACAACUAAAUAAUAAACUAAAUCUUAAACAGACUUGGUUUAAUAAUCCUAUAUUGUCUCUCUUAAACCAAUGUCUUUAAAUCGCAUCAUACCAAGCAUUUUUUUCAACUUGAGAAAUAGCUCCUCCUUCAAUGGUUUUAUGAAAAUAUCCGCCACUUGAUCUUGAUUCUUACAUUAGUCAGUGGCAAUUUCCUGAUUUUGAACUAGUUCACAAAUGAAGCGAAACUUUAUAUCAAUAUGCUUGCUUCUUCCGUGAAAUGAUGGAUUCUUUGACAGCUCAAUAUCAGAUUUGCUAUCACAAGAUUUUGGUAGGAUCAACUUGUACAUGCCGUAGAAAAUCAAGUAUUCUUUUCAACCAUAAUGCUUGAGAAAUACUAUGUGUAGCUGCCAUAUACUCUGCUUCUGCUGUAGAUAAUGCCACCACUUCUUGUUUUUUAGAAAACCAUGAAAAUACAACACUGCCUAAAUAAAAGUUAUAGUUUGAUGUACUUCUCCUUUGAAUCAUGUCAGCAGCCCAAUCACGGUCUGUAAAGCCUAUAAGAUUAGAAUUGUUAGUAUAUAGAUAAAAGAUACUAUUAGAUUGUGUAGCUCUAAUGUAUCUUAAAAUCCUUUUGGCUGCCUGCUAAUGUGAUUGGCAUGGAGACUCCAUAAACCUGCUAAUUAACCCAAUACCAAAAGUAAUGUUAGACCUUGUAGACGUCAAGUAUGUUAGACUUCUAACCAAUCUGCUAAAAUUAGUGGCAUCAACAAAUUCACCACUGUUAUCUUUCUUCAAUUCAACUUCUCUUCAACUGGAGUCAACAUAGGUUUGGCAGUAUCCAUCUUAAACUUUUUCAAUAUGUCUAUGCAUAUUUCUUUUGUGUAAUAAAUAUGCCAUGAUCUAUUUGAGAAAUCUCAAUUCCAAGAAAAUAUGACAUUAAUCCCAGGUCAAUCAUCUCAAAAUGAUGAAUCAUAGCCUCUGCUAAAAUUAGUGGCAUCAACAAAUUCACCACCGCCAUCUUUCUUCAAUUUCAACUUCUGUCAACAUAGGUUUGGCAAUAUCCAUCUUAAACCUUUUCAAUAUGUCAUAUACAUAUUUCUGCUGUGUAAUAAAUAUGCCAUGAUCUGUUUAAGAACCUCAAUGCCAAGAAAAUAUGACAUUUAUCCAGGGUCAGUCAUCUCAAAAUAACUAAUCAUAGCCUUCCUGAAUUCAGAAAUUACUCAGGGAUUAUUGUCAAUAAAAAUUAGAUCAACCAUCUAUAAGCAUACAAUAAGAAUAUCACCACCAGAAUUAGAUUUGAUAUACAAAGUAUGCUUAUAUGGACAUCUAUGGAAACCAUUCCCAAUAAAGUAAGAGUCUAUACGAGUAUACCAAACUCGAGGAACUUGUAUCAAACCAUAUAAAGUCUUCUUUAACAUGUAGACUUUAUUUUCUUGGCCUUUCUUUAUGUAACUUGCAGGUUGCUCAACAAAUACUUCCUCUUCAAGAAUUUCAUUCAAGAAAACAAAUUUCACAUUCAUUUGAUAAAUCUUUCAAGAAUUAUUUACAGCAAUAGAUAUAAUCAUGUGAACAAUAUCAAGUCUGGCAACUAGAACAAAAACUUCAAAAUAAUUAAUACUUGUCUUUUGCCAAUGUUUUCAGAACCGGACCAAACUGGCCGGUUCGACCGUGAAUCGGACAUGUCACCAGUCCGGUCCAGUAUCAAACCCGGAAGUUAAUGAAAAACCGCUAGAAGCAGGACGAACCAUUAAAACCCGUAUAAACUGUAACCAGCGGCUCUUAAAUUUUCAAGUUCAUUACCUCAAAUUCAAAACAAUAGCAAGAAUGAAGGCUACUAGGAUUCGAACUCGGGUCUCCGUGGCCAUAAAAAAGUAUUCUUACCACUAAACCACAGCCAGAGGACAAACUCUUGUUGUGAAGAAUUUUACUUAACUUAAAUAAAAAACUAAAAUUAGAUUAAAUAAAAGAAACCCUAGCAUUAAGAAAAGACACAGCAGAGUGCAAACGGCACAUUUCACUUCCUCGACUUCACUUUAGACUUCCUCGGCUUCUCUAGUUCUCUUCUUGAUUUUUUUUUAUUUUUCCUUCGUAACCCUUCCACAUCCAAAUAUCCAUGACAAGAUCAUCAUGCUAUUAUCUUUAGACGAUCUAUAGGCAAGUUGGAAUUUGGAAACUUCAACUUUCACAAGAUAUCCGAAACUCCAGAGCUUUUCCAUCUUGGUUAGUUUAACUUUUCCCUUUUGAAAAUUUUUGUUUUCUAUAUUAUCUUUAGUGGAUUUUUUCAUAUUUUCUUCUUUUUCCCCCCAAUUUUCAUCUGUUUCCUUAUCCCUAAUUGAAGUUUUAUUUUUGUUUUAUUAGUUAAGAAUGAAACUAUGAAUCAUGAAUUAUUUUGUAGUCAUGUUUGGAGAAGCUAUUUUUUGGAUAAAGUAUCAAAUUAAUAAAAUUAGACAUGUUUGGUUUCUAACUUUUGUAUUUUUUGGAAUUAAUCUUUGGUUCCUUUGAUAAAAUUAAUAAAAUUAGAAAUGUUGGGAAUUAAUAAAAAUUUUGUUUUAAAUUUUGUAUUUUUCAGAAUUAGCGAAGCCCGGAUGUCUAUUUUUUGUUCCUUUGAUGUUGUUUGUUUGCAUGUAUCAUUUGUAUGCUAUGAACUCCAUCUUCUGUGUUUUCUAUGUCACUGAAGUAAUUAAUCUACCGAGUGCUCAUUCAUCUUGAAUUUUAUAGGUUUCACUGAAGCAACAAAAAUAAGGACAUGUUUUUGCUUGUUCAUUAUCUUUUGCAGCUAGUAAUUAAAGUCUACUUCUUCUUUAAGGAUGUAGUUUUAAUAGUAAAAACUCUUUACUUUUGGUUUGUUGGUGUACAUGCUUGGCCAUCUAACGAGCUGCAUUUUUAGUUUGAGCACAUGGAUACAAAUACUUGUCUAUUAGUCUAGUAAAGGGACAACGAUCCUUUUGUGCUAGUGCUAAUAAUGUAUAUUCUUUUUAGCUUCACAUAAACAAAUGUUUUGAUUGACGACUAUAUUGGCAUUGCUUUGAGCAAAUUUAGACUCACAUACAUUGGUUGAAAAAAUACAGCUUUGCAUAAUGAUUGGUAAUAUAACAUGUCAAUUAGUGAUGUUUAGUAGUAAUUAAUUUUUUAUGUGUUUAGUUGUAUCUUUGUUUUUCAAAAUUUUUUGGCUUUUUUUUGAGUUAGAGCAAUUAGAUUUAUAUUUUUGUAAUAAACUUUUAACUUUUUCAGGUUAAGUUGAUGAAAUUGUGAAGAUGGUGUUGUUGUCUAUCAUGCCACCGAUGGAAGUUUGUUAUUGAAAUUGUUUGUUUUAAAUAUGAGUUGGACUCUUUUAUUGACUUUUUUAGGAUUGCAAAAGAAUGUCAACAUUUAUUUUAUUUAUUUUUGUAUUUUUAUUUGUGAUAAUUGGUGAGCAUUUGGAUUAUAUCUAUUUAUGUUUGUAAUGAAUAUAUAAAAACUUGUGGUGAAUUAUGAUAUUUUAGUUGUUUUUAUCAUUCCAGGUUUUAUGUAUAACUUUUAGGAAAUUUAUUAUUAUCCCAACUUAAAUUUAGUUAUGUUGGUGAAUUCAUUUUAGGGACUUAAUUUGUCAAUAACCAUGUUAGAUCGUCAUUAGCCAUCAAGUUCAAGUAUAGAGUGAAGGCCUAUGAAGUACUUAGCACUAAAGUUGAAAAAAAAAACCAGUAAACCGGCUGGUCGGACCGGUUGGACCGAUCGUACCGCCAACCAACCCCCUCUCCGGUUCGCUGGCUGGUCCGAGUUUAAAAACAUUGCCUUUUGCUUAUAUGUUUUAACCACCAAUCUUGCUUUGCAACGAUCUACUUCUCCAGUUGACUUGUACUUGGUCUUGUAGACCCACUUGAUACCAAUUGACUUCUUCCCAUAUAGAAGUGUAGUCAGCUCUCAUGUCUUAUUGUUCUCAAUUGAUGUAUUUUCUCGUCCAUUGCUUGAUUCCAGUGAUCAUCUUUGACGGCCUCCUCAAAGGUAACUGAAUCACAAUCUGCAAAUAAAACAAAGUUUACAAUAUUUUUAUCAGACAAUUCAUUAUCGUUACCAACAACAUAAUCCUCCAAGCAAGCUAGCAUGCGGCGUUCUUGUUACGGACAACUGGAUGACUGCAUAGGAUUUGAUUGCAUCCUGGAAGAUGAAGAAUCACUAGUAUGUUGUCUGGACUGGUCUACUGGCUGAUUAGAAGAAUUCCCUCCAUCCAAGUAAAACGGCAUUGGUGGAUUCUUUGGUGCAGAAUCUAUAACUUUCUUAGAUCAAUCCAAAACGUCUUGCUCAUCAAAUGUGACAUAUCUACUAAUAAUCAUCCUUCCUGUAUUUGGGUUGAACAGUUUGUAAUCUUUGGUUUCAUGACUAUAAUCAAGAAAAAUGCAUUUUUUUGCUUUCUCAUCUAUUUUUUUCUAAUAACAUCUGGAACAUGGGAAUAGGCAAGACAAUCAAAUAAUUUUAAAUGAGAAAUAUUUUGUUUCUUACAAGUCCAUAACUCCUGUGGUGUCUUCCUAAAAUUGCAUCACGUAUGAGACAUGUUAGAAAUAUAUACAACACAAGCAACUGCUUCUGUCCAAAAACCUUUAGGCAUGUUCUUGGCAUGUAUCGUUGAUCUCACCAUAUCCAUUAUAGUUCAAUGUUUCCUCUCUGCUAUUCCAUUAUGUUGAGGAGUGUAUCUGAUUGUCAACUGAUGUUUAAUUCUAUGUUUCUUCAGAAAAUCAACACAGACAGUAAACUCAGUGCCUCUGUCAGUUCUCAAAAAUUUAAUAAAUUGGUCAUUUUACUUCUCAACAUAUACUUUAAAACUCUUAAAAAUAUCACAAGUUUUAGAUGUAUUCUUCAAAAAAUAUACCCAAAUUUUACUGCUAAAAUCAUCAGUGAAGGUAAUAAAAUAGUUACUACCUCCAUUGGAAGAUACCUCAACUAAGCACAGGUCUGAAUGUAUCAAUUCCAACAGAUGACUAGCCUUUCAAACCUUGCCUUUAGAAUAGAUCUUUGUGUUUCUUUCCCAAAAUAUAAGACUCACAGUACUGUGUAGAAAAAUCAAAUAGCAGACAGUCCAUACACCAUUUUUUUUUUGGCAAGAAAAUUCAAACUCCCAAAAUUCUUGUGACCAAAACGUAUAUGCCACAGCCAAAUAUCAUAAAAAACAAUAGAACUAAAUCAAGGUAAAUCAUGACAAUUAAGAGUGAUAGGCCAUAAGCAGCUAGAGUUCAUGUAUACCUUUGCUAUUAGUCCCAAACGAUCAUCACUAAUAGUACCAAUGCCGUAUUUGAAUCGCAAAGCAUAUCCUUUCUCAAUAAGUUGCCCAAGACUCAGUUAUGAUAAAGGCUUGGCACAUAGAAGACAUCAGAGAUAAAAUCAGAUUUUUCAUUCUUCAAAAUAAUUCUGAUUUUUCCUUUUCCAAGCACAAUCACUCUUUCAUUUUUGUCAAACUUAACAAAAGAUAUAAAAAAUUCAUCCAAAUUAGCAAACAUAUUUUUGGCAUCACACAUAUGAUUCCUGCAACCAGAAUCCAAAACCAAUUUUUCUUUUUAUUUUCUUCCACCCUUAAGUUAGAGAAUAAAAUAGUUUCAACCUUUGCACCAUUAUUCUCUACCAUAUUAGUAUGCUCACCUUUAUUAUCAGAAUCAUACCAGCACUCACUUUUAUAAUGAACCAUUUUUUUACAAUUAUGGCACUGAAUAUUAUGUCUGCGAGAAUUAUUAUUUUCUAACUCAAUAUUGGGAUAAUUAUUGUUACCUUUCUGUUGGUAAAAAUUACCUCUACCACAACUUCUAAAACUGCCUCUACCACGGACUUGUUCUCUUCCUCUGAAAUUUUGAUUUUUCUAACCGGAGCCAUCACCCUUCUCCUUGGGUUUAUCUAUCUGCACCUGCAAUACUUUCUCCACCAUUUCUUUUUCUAUACCAUCUUCCAAUUUUUCAUUAAUUCUCUAUUCAUGAAGAGUUAACGAAUCCUGCAAUUCUUCAAUGGUCAUAGUUGAGAGAUCUUUUGUCUUUUGAAUCACAGCAACCACAUGAUCAAAUUUCAUGGGUAAAGUAUUGAGGGUUUUUUCUACUAGCACCUCAUCAUUGAGAUCAUAACCAUUGUGUUUGAUCUCAUUUUUUAUGUCAAUCAGUCUGAAAAAAUAUAAUUCAACGGUCUCUGAUUUUUUCGUGGUGAUCAACUCAAAUUUUCUUUUCAACAUCAGUAGAUUAUUUUUCUGAACUCUGUCAACUCCUUGUAUAUUUUCGCCAAAAUAUCCCAUGCUUGUUUUACAGUUUUGGCAUUCGCAAUUUUUUCAAAAAUCAAACAUCAAUUGCCUGAUGGAUUUGAGACAACGCCAUACUUCCUUUUCUCUUGACAUUUUCUUCUUCAUCUACAGUAAUUUCUUACUGAACAAAUCAAAACAAAUUAUAUGCGUCAAGAUGAGUUUCCAUCUGCAUUCUCCAAAAACAGUAAUCUUUUUUUCCGGUGAGUUUUGGUACUGCACAGAUAAUAUUACUUGACACAGUUGAUGCAAACAUGUCUUACAAUAAAAGUGGAUCUAAUACCACUAUGAAGGCUUACAAAAACAAUCAAUAUAAGUCACACAACUUUCACGAUUGAAUGAAACCACAAGAAGACAAAAUAAAUCCCGAAGCUUGAAUCUUUUCUUUCUUUCUUACACUGAUGGACCAAAACCUAUGGUCUUUAUAUAAACUACCAAAUACCAAAAUCCAAUUGAGAUUUAAAUUACCAAAUCAUACUAAGAAUAGAAAAUCACAACUAAACAAUAAACUAAAUCCUAGACAGACUUGGUUUAAUAAUCCUACAUGAUUCAAUCUCAAUCUGUUGAGCAAUGGAUCUGGUACCAAAUGCCAAUUGAAACUAACAAGAAGGUUGUUGAGAAUUGGGACAGGAGUCCCACACAGCAAAUUGACGGAACAACCAAAGAAAUAGUUUCUUUCCUGCAGCCAC